rnacentral:rRNA from 1 species
AGAGCGAACGCUGGCGGCAGGCUUAACACAUGCAAGUCGAGCGCCCCGCAAGGGGAGCGGCAGACGGGUGAGUAACGCGUGGGAACGUACCUUUUGGUUCGGAACAACACAGGGAAACUUGUGCUAAUACCGGAUAAGCCCUUACGGGGAAAGAUUUAUCGCCGAAAGAUCGGCCCGCGUCUGAUUAGCUAGUUGGUGAGGUAACGGCUCACCAAGGCGACGAUCAGUAGCUGGUCUGAGAGGAUGAUCAGCCACAUUGGGACUGAGACACGGCCCAAACUCCUACGGGAGGCAGCAGUGGGGAAUAUUGGACAAUGGGCGCAAGCCUGAUCCAGCCAUGCCGCGUGAGUGAUGAAGGCCCUAGGGUUGUAAAGCUACUUUAACGGGGAAGAUAAUGACGGUACCCGUAGAAUAAGCCCCGGCUAACUUCGUGCCAGCAGCCGC